GACGAACGCUGGCGGCGUGCUUAACACAUGCAAGUCGAACGGUGAACCUCUUCGGAGGGGAUCAGUGGCGAACGGGUGAGUAACACGUGGGCAACCUGCCCCCGGCUCUGGGAUAACUCCAAGAAAUCGGGGCUAAUACCGGAUGUUCACCGCUUCCCGCAUGGGUGGUGGUGAAAAGGGUUUCCGGCUGGGGAUGGGCCCGCGGCCUAUCAGCUUGUUGGUGGGGUAGUGGCCUACCAAGGCGACGACGGGUAGCCGGCCUGAGAGGGUGACCGGCCACACGAGGACUGAGACACGGCGCAGAAGGGUACGGGAGGCAGCGGGGGGGAAUAUUGCGGAAUGGGGGGAAGCGAGACGCGGAGACGCCGGGUGGGGGAUGACGGGCUACGGGUUGUAAACCUCUUUCAGCAGGGACGAAGCGCAAGUGACGGUACCUGCAGAGGAAGCACCGGCCAACUACGUG
rnacentral:rRNA from 1 species